UUGGGGGUGACGAUAUCUUUAAUAUUGAGACUUCUCUAUGAUUUUCAUGUAUUCAUACUGUCUGACCCAA